ACAUCAUUAUUAAAAAUGCUGUGGAUCUUAAAUUGAGAAAAAGUUUACCAUUAGAGCUUCAAAUUUAUAAGACCAAUCACAGAGAAGCUGAUUCGAUCUUCCUAAAGCCCAUGAAUAAUACCAGGUCUUAACAUUGACAGAAAUAACUUAGAGAAAAAAAAAAAUCUAAGUGUGGAUUGACUGUCUAUCCUAUGAUGGUUUUCACCCUGUUGGUUGCUAUCGGUCUAAAUAGCCACUUCCACCCACUCCAGACCAUAAGCUCCACACAGAUCAUGUCAUUGGAUACUCCAGAAAAUGAAUAUGUCUUGAAGUGCAUGGAGUGUGUGAUUAAGUCCCUGAGUAGGGUACCCAAGGUAGAUAACAACUAUAGGCCCCUCUCUUCUCUUUGAUUCUCCCCUUGGAGGAAAAGAUGGGGUGAGAGUGUACAAAGGUCACCUGGCCUGAAAUUUUCCUUUCUCAGACUGGCAUACAGCCUUUAAGGAUCUACCUAGGUAACUUUUUAAAUGAUCACCAGCACCAGUUGGUUUUUCCAGUUAUUGCAGAGAGCAGCUGAUGGAAGAGGUACUAUAGGGAAGUCACAAUAUGGCUGGAUGCAGGUUGACCCUCCAGACUUCUUCUUUUGGUCACAGUGGCCUCAUGCAGUAAUGACAGGGAGUAGGAGGGUGGGAAUGAGGGGACUGGCUAGAGGGAACAUAAAUAUUUGAAAAGAGGAUUUUGGUCUUUCAGGAACACUUUUGUUCUCAUGCUAUACAAAGAUCAAGCUGCAUAACACCCCUGUAGGCAACUGGUACUCA